rnacentral:lncRNA from 1 species
CAGUUCACGGCGCAUUCGUCCGGUCACAGUAAAUCUCUGGGGUUCCCCUCCAAACACCACUCCACCAGGGGCCCCUCGCACUCCGGAGCCGACAAGGGCCACAAGUCCAUGCAGCCGAAGCACCCAGGUGGUUCUCCGUCCCGUUUCAGCGCAGGAAUGUUCCCGGUCAGUCUCCUGAUCUUUGCUUUUGUCGCCUCCAGAGAACUGCUCCAUCUGCGGGAUCUUCCGUAUCUCGGUGCACUGCGUGACCUGCCUCCAGGGCCUGUGCUCCGAGUGCGAUAAGCUCUACCACAGCGGGACAGAGCGAGCGGGACAUCAGCGCACCAAGGUCACCGCCACUCUGCCCCUGGAGCCAAGACUAGGAAGCACAGCUCGUCAUCGUGGAAGUGCGUGACGUGCUCCCGGACCAACUCGAGUCAGGACGUCCUGUGUGAGGCGUGUGAGAGUCCGCGCAGAGGCCUCAGCGACAGAGGGGAGGAGAAGCCGCCCGCCUCCAUCACCGAGUGGCAGUGUAAGAGCUGCACUGUGGUGAACUCGGCCAGCAGCGUGUUGUGUGAGGUGUGUGAGCGCCCCCGUCUGGCCACGCGACCUCCCGUCACCCUGUCCCACCCGCCAAUCACCCCGCCCCGCCCCCUGCGCCUGUGCUGGGCAUGCCCGGAGACCCCGACAGCCAGUGGGUGUGCCAGUUCUGCACGUACUUGAACUACUCUCCCGCACCGUGUGUGAGAUGUGCGACCUGCCCCGCCCCGAGCCGCCCCCUCUGAACCGGCGCCCGCCCUCGCCGUGCGCAGGGUCCCCGCCCUGCCUGUCAAGUCCAAA